GCGGAGAUGACGACGAUGCAAAACAAUGACGCCAUUCACAGUAUGGCAAAAUGUCACCGCUUUGACUUCGGCGAAAGCAACAAAGUAACACAUUUGUCAAAAUGAAAAGAAGGGCAUCGGUUUCGGACUUUGGGCGAAAGUGAGUUCUUAUCCAGUGUAUUCGGGCAGGACGAGUCCCCCGCCAUAAAAAACCUUGGACGAGCCAAAAUUUUACGACAUAUUAAAUGUGUAUGCAACUGCUAAUGAGGCAAUGCUCAGCUAAGUACAAGGGAAAAUUUACGACGAAAGAGAAAAAACAGUGCGCACUUCGGAGUUGAAUCAGGCCGGUCAGAAAAGCAUUUCUGACGAUCCUUCUGCUGUGAUAAGGACGUUAGCAAAGAAAUUUAAUGGUGAAAAAAACACAGCGUGUUUUGGACUGCUCACUAGGGUUUCAGCUACACGUCAGUUACCGAGCCAGGCAGAUACUCUCUGAGGGCAAUAAAAACAAGAGUUUUAUUGGUUUCGUUUGCUCUUCAAUUCUCUUUAGAGGGAAAUAUCAAGUCGUUUGAAGACGUCGUGUCAUCACACAUCUUCUAAAAAGGGAGCUAAGUUUGUGUCUAACUUCGAUGGCAUACCGGAAAUUUUCCUGGAAAAUUCGAGCCGCUACAUCUAUCACCGCGCCGUGUUUAAUUCUGCUGCCAAGACGCGAAUGCCAGAAUCGAUAAAGCGUCGAUUUUACAUCGUUCCAGCUAGCAUGGAUUCCGUGCAGCCGGUUCUUCCCAUAUCGCUGCAGUGUUUGGUCACGUUUUUCGAUCUUUUCGGCAGCCGCGUAACCAGUCGUAUUGCGCUAGGUCGUCGAUUUCGGGUAAGUUAAGAAGUUCAUAGCUUCGAUGGGAUUCGUCCAACGCGGAAUCACCGACAAGAACUUAUUUUUGUCUUAUGCUAAAUCUAAACACCCUACGUACCCCAUGAUGACCUCGCAACUUCGUCGGAGUAAGAAGUGGCUUUUCCGGUACUAAUGAUAUGACCUAAAAUCAUGCUCGUUGCGAUUAGUAGUCCGCCGGAGUCUGUCCUAGUUUAUCCCAAACACACUGUAUGCGCAUAUAGUCGAUGCAACAGAGGGAACAACGUGAUAAGGACGAGGCUGGAAGG